rnacentral:rRNA from 1 species
UGGGGAAUUUUGGACAAUGGGGGCAACCCUGAUCCAGCAAUGCCGCGUGUGUGAAGAAGGCCUUCGGGUUGUAAAGCACUUUUGUCCGGAAAGAAAACGUCGUGGUUAAUACCCGUGGCGGCUGACGGUACCGGAAGAAUAAGCACCGGCUAACUACGUGCCAGCAGCCGCGGUAAUACGUAGGGUGCAAGCGUUAAUCGGAAUUACUGGGCGUAAAGCGUGCGCAGGCGGUCCGCUAAGACAGAUGUGAAAUCCCCGGGCUUAACCUGGGAACUGCAUUUGUGACUGGCGGGCUAGAGUAUGGCAGAGGGGGGUAGAAUUCCACGUGUAGCAGUGAAAUGCGUAGAGAUGUGGAGGAAUACCGAUGGCGAAGGCAGCCCCCUGGGCCAAUACUGACGCUCAUGCACGAAAGCGUGGGGGAGCAAACAGGAUUAGAUACCCUGGUAGUCCACGCCCUAAACGAUGUCAACUAGUUGUCGGGUCUUCAUUGACUUGGUAACGUAGCUAACGCGUGAAGUUGACCGCCUGGGGAGUACGGUCGCAAGAUUAAAACUUAAAUGAAUUGACGGGGUCAUAGCUGUUUCCUG